GUGUCUCUCAAAAAUCACCUGCGGGGAAGAUUGAAGUCCUUGAAGGACCUGUGCAGUUCUUGGGACCCGUCCACAUUUGUAGAGUAGUAAUUCUACGUGGGGGGUCUGCCCCAAACAAGAUGCUGUUACGUAGUCUAAUUGACGACGCCUGCUGUAGAGGGCACAAGGCCGCUCCUGCAGGGGGAAAGAACACUUCCGAUGAGAGAGAGGAGGAAACUCAGCCAAAAGGUGUCCACCCAACUCACCCCACCCCCCCAAGAGAGGGGGGGGAUGGGGCUCAAGACCUUCCCCCACUCUUCACUGACGAGGAAUCGUCACAUUUCUACUCAGACGAGGAUGGGGGUGUGG